CCUACGGGUGGCAACAGUGGGGAAUAUUGCACAAUGGGGGAAACCCUGAUGCAGCGACGCCGCGUGAGUGAAGAAGUAAUUCGUUACGUAAAGCUCUAUCAGCAGGGAAGAAAUACUGACCUUACGGUCAGCAGACGGUACCUGAGUAAGAAGCCCCGGCUAACUACGUGCCAGCAGCCGCGGUAAUACGUAGGGGGCAAGCGUUAUCCGGAUUUACUGGGUGUAAAGGGGGCGUAGACGGCGCUGCAAGUCCGGAGUGAAAGCCCAUGGCUUAACCAUGGUACUGCUCUGGAAACUGUGGAGCUUGAGUGCGGGAGGGGCAGGCGGAAUUCCUAGUGUAGCGGUGAAAUGCGUAGAUAUUAGGAGGAACACCGGCGGCGAAGGCGGCCUGCUGGACCGUAACUGACGUUGAGGCUCGAAAGCGUGGGGAGCAAACAGGAUUAGAUACCCCUGUAGUC
rnacentral:rRNA from 1 species